rnacentral:rRNA from 1 species
GAAGGGCCCGAGCGUUGCGCGGAAUCAUUGGGCUUAAAGCGUACGUAGGCGGACGAGCAGGCACCUUGUGAAAUCCCUCGGCUCAGCCGAGGAAUUGCCGGGUGAACCGUUCGUCUUGAGGCAAGUAGGGGCUGUCGGAACGAUAGGUGGAGCGGUGAAAUGCGUUGAUAUCUAUCGGAACGCCAAAGGUGAAGACAGGCAGCUGGGCUUGUUCUGACGCUGAGGUACGAAAGCGUGGGGAGCGAACGGGGGAUUAGAUACCCCGGUAGUCCACGCCGUAAACGAUGUGCACUAGAUCGAGGGGGUUCUGACGCCAUUCUCGGUCGAAGCAAAAGUGUUAAGUGCACCGCCUGGGGAGUACGGUCGCAAGGCUA